AGUGAACGCUGGCGGUAGGCCUAACACAUGCAAGUCGAACGGCAGCACAGUAAGAGCUUGCUCUUACGGGUGGCGAGUGGCGGACGGGUGAGGAAUACAUCGGAAUCUACUUUUUCGUGGGGGAUAACGUAGGGAAACUUACGCUAAUACCGCAUACGACCUACGGGUGAAAGCAGGGGAUCUUCGGACCUUGCGCGAUUGAAUGAGCCGAUGUCGGGUUAGCUAGUUGGCGGGGUAAAGGCCCACCAAGGCGACGAUCCGUAGCUGGUCUGAGAGGAUGAUCAGCCACACUGGAACUGAGACACGGUCCAGACUCCUACGGGAGGCAGCAGUGGGGAAUAUUGGACAAUGGGCGCAAGCCUGAUCCAGCCAUACCGCGUGGGUGAAGAAGGCCUUCGGGUUGUAAAGCCCUUUUGUUGGGAAAGAAAAGCAGCAGGUUAAUACCCCGCUGCUCUGACGGUACCCAAAGAAUAAGCACCGGCUAACUUCGUG
rnacentral:rRNA from 1 species